rnacentral:lncRNA from 1 species
GCCAAAGAAGAACAAAGGAGGAAUGGAAAAAAACAAGAACCCUAGGUGGAAAAAUUGAAGAAAAAGUGUGAGAUUUCGAGGGAUUAAGCUAAUAAAGGUAAAAUUUCUUGAUUUUGACUUGUGAUCUACCUUUCCCAUGCAUUUCUCCUUAUUUUCCAUGGUUAGAUUUCAUGUUUUCAUGGUGAAUUCAUGGCUGGUCAAAAUGGGUAUGGAGAGAGAAAGAUGUUAGAUUGAUUUGAUUUUAAGUCAUGUUAGUGUUUUUAGUUAGUUUAACAUAUUUAGAAACAAAACAACAAGAAAAGAAUUCAUUUUCCCCAUCAACUAUCAAUGGCCGAAUUUCCUAGGGAGGAUAUUGUGGCUGAAAUUGAUGAUAUUUCAUGAUAUUUUGGUGAUAUUUGAUGUUUGGUGAGACUAAAAAUUAAAUGAGAAAUUUUGGUGUGAAAAUCUGAAUUUUUGCUCAACGUAUAGACAAGUGUGAUUAUUGACCCGAAAUUGAUAAAUUGAAUCUCAUUCACAGUCACUGAGGUAAUUUAAGUAUAAUUGGAGUGUAGAAAGUGAGAAUAAUUGAUUUGGAGUUAAAUUGGAGAUUUUAGCCAAUUAGACCGAGUAUAAUGUGACUUAGGUCGAAUAUCACAUUUAAGCGAAUAAUCAGACAUUUUGCAUUCCAUAUCAUGCAUUAGUAGUCUAAAUUAGUUUAAUUUCGAUUUAGUACCAAUAUAAUAAGUUUCUCGAUUUUGUACUAUGUCAAGGUGGAGAGUCAUUUGACAAAGGUAAGGAAAUUGUACCCGAUGAUCGAUAAUCGGAGUACUUUAGAAAUUCGACUUCCGAAAUAGUGAGUGACCUUAUUAUCAUUUUAAUUAUCUAAAGUAUGUUUUAAUUCGGUUUUGGUAAAAUUUUAUGAAAAUGAGUUAAAUGGCAAAUUUUAGGUUUUAUAAACAAAAAUGAGUUUAAAUAAAAAGAUUUUAUAAAUUGUUUUGGAAAUUGAAAGAUGAUUUUGAAAAUAGAGUAAUUGGAGACCACUGAUAUGUUGUAAAUUUAAGAUUGAAUUGAUGGCUUAUGUUAUUGUGUUGGCAUGACUGGUUGGGCUGUGUUUUAUGAAUUGUAUGAAUUGUUUUAUUUUACCCUUGCAGGCUAGGUAGUAAUAUAAUAGCCUUGUCAUGCUAUCAAAAUUUUAUUGUAUGGUGGGUUUAGCUUACUACAGUAGGUGGGUUUUCGUGGACUAGCCUAUUAGAGGGGCACGGUAAACCCUGUUAUAUUUUACCUCGGUUGGAGAAGCGAGUAGGGUAACUCCCGAGGUAUGAUUUUAGAGUUCACUUCACGCCAAACCACCACGUGAAGUUGAGCUCGGCCAACGCCAAGGAACUGUUAUAUUUUCAAAAUGAAAACAUGUUUUAUGCGUACAUGACUUUUUAAUAGCCUUGGCUGACUCAGUUGGGAUAGCCCUCGACCAAGGUAUCUUAGAUAACUGAUUAUGAUAAUAAUUUUUUGCAUGAGCCAAGCUUUUUAAGAAAUUCAUAAGCCAUACUGAUUACUUGAUUUAAAUAAAUUGAUUUCAUUUGGUUGAAAUAAGUUGAAAAAUGAUAAAUUACAGUUUGAUGAAAAGUUUUAAUAGUCUCCUUUUACUCGCCUUUAGAUAUUUUAAAUGAUAUUUGUUUACUCACUAGGAUUUUAUAAUCUCACCACCCUUCUUUCCACCCAUUUCAGGCAUAAGGAUAGUCGGUAAAUAGCUCAUUUCAUCGAGGACUACAAUUAGAUUGGCAUCCUCAAAAUAUGUAGGUUCAAUUCUUUUGACACUUUUAGUCGUUCGUGAGCCCACGUGUCACUGCAAAUUUAAUUUUAUACUUUGGUUAUCUAUAUUACAAUAUUUAUGAAUUUAUUUUGCUUUUUCGCUGUAAAAAUUAUUUACGCA